UACGAAGGGGGCUAGCGUUGUUCGGAAUUACUGGGCGUAAAGCGCACGUAGGCGGAUGUUUAAGUUAGGGGUGAAAUCCCAGGGCUCAACCCUGGAACUGCCUCUAAUACUGGGCAUCUAGAGUCCGAGAGAGGUGAGCGGAAUUCCGAGUGUAGAGGUGAAAUUCGUAGAUAUUCGGAGGAACACCAGUGGCGAAGGCGGCUCACUGGCUCGGUACUGACGCUGAGGUGCGAAAGCGUGGGGAGCAAACAGG
rnacentral:rRNA from 1 species